ensembl:snRNA U1 U1 spliceosomal RNA
AAAAUUACCUGGCAGGCAGAUACCAUGAUCACGAAGGUGGUUUUCCCAGGACAAGGCUCAUCUAUUGCACUCUGGAUGUGCUGACCAUUGUGAUUUCCCCAAAUGUGGGAAACUCGACUGCAUGAUUUGUGGUAGUGAGCGACUGUGUUCGCGCUUUCCCUUG